UGGAUACAAAUAUUUGGCCUCUCAUGUGAUAUUUACAUAAUAUAUACAUUAGUUGCAGAAAGUAAUAGUAUAUCAAUAAAGCAUAAUUCAAAUGAGCUACACCUUUACAAUCCACACUUGAAAAAGUAUUUUCAUUAAUGCAUCAAAAAAUAUAAUCCAACAAUUUCCUUAUUCUGAAUUGUGCUAUACUGACGUAAAUACAAUGAAAUUUAGGUGCAUUGUUAUUGUACUUUUAAGAUGAAUUGUAGUAUGUUCAUUCAUUUACAGAUAACUGCAGUAAUAAAUAUCAAUUUAAUAUUGUUCAUAUUUAAUUCAAUGAAUUAUUUAAUUAUUAAUAUAAAAAUAUAUAUAUUGGGGAAUAUUGUGUUACCCUUUGAGCUGCCUUAUAAAUCAAUAAAUGAAAAACUACAACAGCAACAUCUCUGAGCAGCCCUCAGCGCUCAAAAGUAUCGUUCUUAAUUGAUGGCCCCGCCCCCUGACCUCCAGCUGCACUCAGCACGUGAUUGUGUUCAAGAUGAGUGAGCGGAGCAGUGUCCUGGAGCGCUUCAAGAGAAGACUGGAGCGACUGAGAGCUCAUCAUAAUCGAUGCGCAGCCUUUACAGUGCAGUCAAAAGAUAUGGAAGAUGAGGAGCCAGAGAGUGAUUCCUUUGAAUCUGAAGUGUCCAGCUGUUCUGGAUUAGAUCCAGAUUCCAAGAUUGCAUCAUCAUGCAGUGAAGAUUCGAGUCCAGUCAAAGAUGCAUCAUAUAAGAGUCUGUCCAGUGAAGAGGAACUUGAAGGACCAGACAGAAGUCUGAGUGAGGAAGAUCAGAUAAGAGGUAAAUGCACCAUUAAAGAACAAAACAAACCCAUAACUUAUGUGAAAAGACACAAGAAAAUCAAAGCAAAUAAAGACAAAUCAGCUGUGACUCUAAAAGCGUGUACUAAAAGGGAAAACUGUAAACGAGCAUGGGACAAAAAACAUUAUUGCCUUUAAUGUAGCCAGGCACAAUCAAAGAUUUCAAGGCAUUUGGAGAGAAAGCAUAUAGAAGUCAAAGAUGUGGCAUAUGCCUUCAGCGUUCCAUUAAGAUCGAAAGAAAGAAAGACACUUCUAGAACAGCUGCGCAAUAAAGGAGACUUUAAACAUAACACAGAAGUUCUGGAGAAAGGCAGAGGACAAAUAGUUACAUGGAAGCAGCCCUCUGAAAAAGCUUCUGUAAAGGAUUACUUGC
rnacentral:lncRNA from 1 species